rnacentral:rRNA from 1 species
GACGAACGCUGGCGGCGUGCUUAACACAUGCAAGUCGAACGGAAAGGCCCUGCUUUUGUGGGGUGCUCGAGUGGCGAACGGGUGAGUAACACGUGAGUAACCUGCCCUUGACUUUGGGAUAACUUCAGGAAACUGGGGCUAAUACCGGAUAGGAGCUCCUGCUGCAUGGUGGGGGUUGGAAAUUUUCGGCGGUUGGGGAUGGACUCGCGGCUUAUCAGCUUGUUGGUGGGGUAGUGGCUUACCAAGGCUUUGACGGGUAGCCGGCCUGAGAGGGUGACCGGCCACAUUGGGACUGAGAUACGGCCCAGACUCCUACGGGAGGCAGCAGUGGGGAAUAUUGCACAAUGGGCGGAAGCCUGAUGCAGAAACGCCGCGUGCGGGAUGACGGCCUUCGGGUUGUAAACCGCUUUCGCCUGUGACGAAGCGUGAGUGACGGUAAUGGGUAAAGAAGCACCGGCUAACUACGUG